rnacentral:lncRNA from 1 species
UCAGCCAUUAGAUUGAUCUAAAAUGUCAAUAAGGCUUUUGUAUGCAUUAAACCGCCUAUGAGGGCACUACAACAAAAAUGAGUUUAGGCAUUUAUAGAAAACCGUCCCUAAAGGUAGAAAACUAUAGCUUAAGACUUUAGGGGGAAGUUUAUCGGGCAUGGAAUAAACAGAUGUUACCUAUUCUUUAAGAGUGCGGUUUUUU